ACGGAUGUAGCUCAAUUGGUAGAGCAGCGGUCUCCAAAGCCGCAUGUUGCAGGUUCAAGUCCUGUCAUCCGUGCCA
rnacentral:tRNA from 2 species